UAAGGAAUUUUUCGCAAUGGGGGCAACCCUGACGAAGCAACACAGCGUGAAGGAUGAAGGCCUUUUGGUUGUAAACUUCUUUUUUGAGGGAAUAAAUAUGAAGGUACCUCGAGAAUAAGCAUCGGCUAACUACGUGCCAGCAGCCGCGGUAAGACGUAGGAUGCAAACGUUAUCCGGAAUUAUUGGGCGUAAAGAGUUCGUAGACGAAUUGUUAAGUAGGAAGUUAAAGCCUAGUGCUUAACACUAGUAAGGCUUUCUAAACUGGCAAAAUAGAGUAUAGCAGAGGCAAGUGGAAUUCUGUGUGUAGGGGUAAUAUCCGUAGAUAUACAGAGGAACACCAAAAGCGAAGGCAGCUUGCUGGGCUAUUACUGACGUUCAAGAACGAAAGCGUGGGGAGCAAACAGG
rnacentral:rRNA from 1 species